AACAGCCAUGAACUCCUGUCUCUACCCAUUACCCUCUUUUGCAUCUACAUAUAUUAUAUACAUACAUACAUACAUAUAUAUAUAUAUAUCCAAACAUAAAUAUCUCUCAAAAAUAUCUCAUACCCUCUCUAUCUCAAUGUGUAUUCCUAAGGACGAACAUGAUCGGCUCCCUUGUCUUCGUUGCCAACCGCAAGAAUACAUAAGACUGGUUCAACAUUUGAUAGAAAGAUGCUUACUUCGUAACAUGAGAAGAGAUGAGUGCGUCCAAGCAUUGGCCAAGCAUGCUGCCAUCGACCCCAUCAUCACACUUACAGUGUGGAGAGAGUUGGUCAAAGAGAAUAGAGGCUUCUUUCAAGCAUAUCUCCUUGCUAUUUCUCCAAGGCACUUCAACAGAACCAUAAACUAAUUAAGCACAAAGCACAGCAGAUUAAUUCUAUGUUUAAAAUCCCUGAAUUUGCAAAUAAUAUAUAUCUAUCUAUCUCUCUCU